rnacentral:lncRNA from 12 species
AUGAUUCCAGCACCACACUUAGUCAGAGGCCAGGCUAGUAGCAGUUUGGACUUUGGAUCCCAUGUUCAAGAACAAAACUCUUCUGAACGACUGAAAGAAUAUCUGCAUGAUUCGUUGAACAAAACUCUUUGUGGAAAACGUACCAACUGGGGAUGCAGGGUCUUCCUUAUCAGAGAAUGGCACUGGAUCAAUGACAGCUCCUUCUAACAGUGAGUGUGAACCAUAUUGAUGCCUGGCUCUAAAGGUUGGUCAAAACUUGGGACCCUGGGAGUUUUGUGCCUAUUUGGAGAAAUUAAAGGCCGUAUAGAAGUCCAUUCCAAAAACUGUUAUUUUAAACCCUC